AUCUUUAUUAUUUGCUGUUGAUAAGUAAGUUUUACAAGCUGUUGUCCGUAUAUUAAUUUGCUUGUAUUCAUUCUUUUGAAGUGCCAUGAGUAUUUUCAAUGCACACAAUGGAAAGAAAAUCAAGAAUUCGGUAAAAUGGGACAUCAUAAAGGGUCCUAAGCAACCUGGCAGUACGGAAUGUGGAUUUUUUGUGAUGCGAUAUAUGAAAGACAUAGUCGAAGGGUUUGAAAGGGACGACAAUAUUUCUCUGCCAUCAUUGUUUACGAAUGUAGCCUAUUCUCAAGUUGAAAUUGAUGAAGUUCGCGAGGAAUGGGCUAAGUGUGUUUUAUUACAUGUAUUGGACUGAUCAUGUGUACGGCAAUAGAAGUCAGGGGUACGUAGGAAGAUGUGACAUUUUGUUUGGUUUUUUGUAUGGAUUUUCAAUCUGGAAAUGAUGAAGAAUUUGGUGAAAAUUGUGUUGAACACCAUUUUUUGUUAAUGUUUGGAUGUAAAUUAAAUGACUACUUUAGGUACUUUGAAGCUACAAUGUUUGGAAGUUUAAGUUAUUUUAUAUAAUAUAUUUUUUGGAUUGUAUUA